AAUGGCAUUUCCAGUAAUAGUUUAUUGAUUUCCAAAUGCACAGGGGCACCAAGUCCGAACAUCCUGGGAUAGCAGUAAAUCUCUCUUACAAAAUAAUUUACAGUAUGAAAAUGAUAUACUGAAACAUUAACCCAAACGUGUAAUUCCCUUGAAAGAUUCAGUGUUCCCUUGUUUAAUGUAAAGGGUGGAAGGGGAAGAUUCCUAAGGAGGGAAUGUGACUGUGCACAGGAAAAUAGGCAGAGGACAAUGGAUUCAUUGGUUCUCCCCAUUCAUGCAGUGUGGCCUGUCACUGUAGAAAGACUGGUCAGGUUUAACCCUCAUUAAGUAGAGAUAUGAUAAGUUACUGAGACAGGUUGGCAAAUAUUUUUAUAUUUCCAUUUAUAUCCACUGCAUAAAUGCUUGAAUUUCCCAAAUACUGAUUCAAAGUAGUAACAUAUGAUCAGAUAUGGAGAACCAAUGAUCUGUCUAUUGCUAAUAUAAGGCUACUAUUUGGAGAUCAAACAAUGAUUAUUGGGGAAAGACAAUACAAGCUUCCAAAUCCUAAAAUCUUUUUAAUCUUCUGAUACUUAAAUUUUUUCGAGAGUGGCCACUGGUCCUUCUUUUAGGGUACUUUUGUUGGAUAUGAUUGGUGGUUGUAAUUAAUGGUAUGCCAAAUUCUCCAGUCUUUGCAGAGAUAGGUAAAGCACCAAAAUUGUCCUAGCCAUUUCUUGGCCAUCAGUUUGAGAGAAAAAUGCUUUUUUUUUUUUUUUUUUAACACCUCAAACUCCCCUCAGCCCCAAUAUCCUGGCAUCUUUAGUGAGUCAGGACAAU
rnacentral:lncRNA from 10 species